UGCCUCCACCUCCUGCUGACACAUACCUUCUGCAUCUUCAUGGUGACAUGCUGUAUUCUCAUUCUACUCUUUGUUUCCUCUUUGUGCCUGAGUAGUGAAAAAAGAACGCUGAAUAUGGCGCGCCAUAAUGCCCAGCUCACACCAGCAAUCAAAUAGACCAACAGGUCACGGUUUCGCUUGGGGCCCCCCAGCUUGCUAGCUAUCUGUGAAUUCAAUUAGGCUGGCCGGGAUCUCAUCCCAUCCUAGGCUAUCUCUAAUCCAACACCACACGAAGGAAGCCAGCGGGCAUCUGAAUAUUAGAUGAUCGGCAGCCUCCUGCUCUCUGCAGAGUUUGCAUUCUUUGGGCCCAUCCCAAUCUCUCUCUUUUAAGUACUGGACAGCAGUCUGCAGUCUGUCAUGCCAAAGCAUCCACAGGAAGAUUUGUAUUUUUAGAGGAAGCUUCGUAUUCCAGACGUCCACCAUCCUCUGAUUCACACACACCCGGGCUGACUAUAAAUCUGUAAAGUGAUCUUGUAGAAUAGCUCUUUUUCCCCUCUAACAUCCAUAGGACCGUAUCAUCUUGUUCCUGUAAUAGGACCUGCUCCAGGUCACCCCUCAUACUAAUCCACUCAUCUCUCUCCACAACAC
rnacentral:lncRNA from 1 species